rnacentral:rRNA from 1 species
UCCGUAGACUGUCAAGUAAGUUCUUUGUCAAAUUUUAAGACCUAAUCUUAAAUUAGCAAUUAAUACUGCUUUACUUUGAGUUUAAUACAGAAAAGUAGAAUUUUAUACGAUAGGGGUGAAAUCCGUAGAUAUAUAAAGGAAUGCCGAUAGCGAAGGCAACUUUUUAGUAUAAACUGACGUUGAGGGACGAAAGCGUGGGUAGCAAACA